rnacentral:rRNA from 1 species
UACGGGGGGAGCAAGCGUUGUUCGGAUUUACUGGGCGUAAAGGGCGCGUAGGCGGCCCCGCAAGUCGACUGUGAAAUCUCCGGGCUUAACCCGGAAAGGUCAGCCGAUACUGCGGGGCUAGAGUGCAGAAGGGGCAACUGGAAUUCUCGGUGUAGCGGUGAAAUGCGUAGAUAUCGAGAGGAACACCUGCGGCGAAGGCGGGUUGCUGGGCUGACACUGACGCUGAUGCGCGAAAGCUAGGGGAGCGAACGGG